CGUCUAUAUACGUAUAGCAUAUCAAUAAGCGGAGGAAAAGAAACUAACUAGGAUUCCCUCAGUAACGGCGAGUGAAGCGGGAAGAGCUCAAAUUUGAAAUCUUCAAGGUUCUACCUUGACGAAUUGUAGUUUAAAGAAGUGUUUUCUGUUGGAGUUUUGGUAAAAGUUCUUUGGAAUAGGACAUCAUAGAGGGUGAGAAUCCCGUAUUUGACCAUUAUUUCCAACUUUGUGAUACACUUUCAAGAGUCGGAUUGUUUGGGAAUGCAGUCCAAAAUGGGUGGUAAAUUUCAUCUAAAGCUAAAUAUUGGCGAGAGACCGAUAGCGAACAAGUACCGUGAGGGAAAGAUGAAAAGAACUUUGAAAAGAGAGUUAAACAGUACGUGAAAUUGUCAAAAGGGAAGCGUUUGACACCAGUGUUGUUUUCUCGAAAAUCAAUUAAAAAUGGCUGGGAUUUUGUGUUGUAUUGACUUUAUCAGCUUUCUGCACUUUUUUCCUGUCUUUUUUAAUGCACUUUUCGUUUAACAAGUCAACAUCAAUUUCUUUUGUUGUAAAAGAGUCAGUUGGAAGGUGGCUUUCUUUUCGGAGAAAGUGUUUAUAGCCUUUGACUUCUGCAGUCGGAGAGAUUGAGGUCUGCAGCGUAGAUCCUUCGGGGUUAGAUGCAUUUGUGCUAAGCUAUAGCCUUUCAUAGACAACUUGUUGACUAUGAUCAGUCAUGUAGCUUACUCGCUUAUGUUAUUUUACCUACGCUUAGGAUGUUGACGAUCAGCUGAGCGCG
rnacentral:rRNA from 1 species